CUGGCGGCAGGCCUAACACAUGCAAGUCGAGCGGUAGAGAGGUGCUUGCAUCUCUUGAGAGCGGCGGACGGGUGAGUAAUGCCUAGGAAUCUGCCUAGUGGUGGGGGAUAACGUUCGGAAACGGACGCUAAUACCGCAUACGUCCUACGGGAGAAAGCGGGGGGAUCUUCGGACCUCGCGCCAUUAGAUGAGCCUAGGUCGGAUUAGCUAGUUGGUGAGGUAAUGGCUCACCAAGGCGACGAUCCGUAACUGGUCUGAGAGGAUGAUCAGUCACACUGGAACUGAGACACGGUCCAGACUCCUACGGGAGGCAGCAGUGGGGAAUAUUGGACAAUGGGCGCAAGCCUGAUCCAGCCAUGCCGCGUGCAGGAUGACGGUCCUAUGGAUUGUAAACUGCUUUACACAGGAAGAAACAACGCUACGUGUAGCGUCUUGACGGUACUGUGAGAAUAAGGAUCGGCUAACUCCGUG
rnacentral:rRNA from 1 species